CAUAAUCAAUUCAAAGAAAUAAGUAAGGUGUCUCACUAUAGUGGUGAUAGUGUUAUUAACUGCAUAGAUCCGGAAGAACAUUGUAUUGAUUAUUUCUACUUAAUUUUUACUCAGAAGAAUUUGCAACUAUCUGUUACUGCAUACUUACAAAUUUGUUUUGGCUUAUUAACUAUCACAUGGUUGUUUAUGUCACAUUAGUUUUGGUUGGUUGUUAGACUUAGAUUGGUUUCACAAGAGCUUUGUAAAUAUUAGUGCCUUA
rnacentral:lncRNA from 1 species